ACAUCAUUGAGGGGCGCUGGUGUGACACUGAAGCUGCAGGUGCCACCAUUCGUGUACCCAGAGUUGGAAAGAGGAAAUGAGACAGAAUUCCUUGACACGCUGAAGGACAUGGAUGACGCUAACCGGACUGUCCUGCAGCGAGGACAGCAGAAGGACCAGUAUAUGCAGCUGCUAUACUGAGGAAAGAGUCAGGCUGAGGAGAGCUGCAUAAAGAGCGAUAAGGAGGCGAGAGUUGGCAUUCCUCGAGUCACAGGCUGAAGAAACUGUGUUAUUUGAACCUAAGGAGUGUUUCACCAGAGAGGCCAGUACCACAGCCCUCUACAGAGUCUGAGGUGACAUCCAUCUAUGUCACUGCUGGAAAACCCAGAGCGGCAGAAGUAUCGGCAGGGUUGAACCGCCCAGUGGAUAAAGAUCGGCCAGAACCAAAAUCCCCACCACAGGUAGAAGCCCUCAGCACUGUGCAGCCACCAGUGGUAAACCACCCUCCAGUGGGUAAACGUGCCCCAACACAAGUGAGGCCAGUACCUCCGAGGAGGCCUACUGAGUCAGUCUCUACAUCGGUCUACAGCACUGUAGAGAAACCAGCUGUAGCACAUCGCCACCCAGUGGACAAAUAUGGGAAUAAUCUCAGCCUACCGGACACUGUGUACUGCACAUUAGGAGAAUUUCCUCUCCCUCCAUCUCAGUGAUCGCUCCACACAGCAUUGACUAUGACUGACUUUCCACACUUAGAUGCUAAAGAGUAGAAUACCGAGAUGGUGAAAGAAUAAUUAAAGAAAUACAGUUAAGUGAAGAUCAAACCCAAGUGGUGAACAUGGGACAUGAGACUGGGAAGUGAA